UACGAAGGGGGGCUAGCGUUGCUCGGAAUCACUGGGCGUAAAGCGCACGUAGGCGGAUCUUUAAGUCAGGGGUGAAAUCCUGGAGCUCAACUCCAGAACUGCCUUUGAUACUGGGGGAUCUCGAGUCCGGAAGCGGUGAGUGGAACUCCGAGUGUAGAGGUGAAAUUCGUAGAUAUUCGGAAGAACACCAGUGGCGAAGGCGGCUCACUGGUCCGGUACUGACGCUGAGGUGCGAAAGCGUGGGGAGCAAACAGGG
rnacentral:rRNA from 1 species